CAAUAGCGUAUAUUAAAGUUGUUGCAGUUAAAAAGCUCGUGUUGGAUUUCUGGUCGGAAGCUCCUGUCCUCUGAUGAGCGUACAAGUGCGUCCUACCAUCCUUCUGUUAACCUUUAAGGCUUUCGCGGCUUUCUAGGGGCUCAGAUAUUUUACCUUGAGAAAAUUAGAGUGUUUCAGGCAGGCUAGCGCCGGAAUACAUUAGCAUGGAAUAAUGGAAUAGGACUUUUGCCUCUUCUGUUGGUCAUGAGGCUCGAGUAAUGAUUAAUAGGGAUAGUUGGGGGCAUUAGUACUUAACUGUCAGAGGUGAAAUUCUCGGAUUUGUUAAAGACUAACUUAUGCGAAAGCAUUUGCCAAGGAUGUUUUCAUUA
rnacentral:rRNA from 1 species